GACAAAUCUGGGUGUCUUCACCAUGACUUGGGCUCCACUACUCUUCAUCUUUCUUCACCACUUAACAGGAUCAUGUGCUCAGGUUGUGCUAACUCAACCAAAGUCUGUGUCUGGGUCUCUUGGGAGCACAGUCACCAUCUCCUGCAAGCGCAGCAGUGGUAACAUUGGAAGUUACUAUGUGCACUGGUACCAGCAGCACGUUGGAAGUCCACCCACCAAUGUGAUCUAUAAAGACAAACAAAGACCAUCUGGGAUUCCUGAUCGGUUCUCUGGCUCCAUUGAUAGCUCCUCCAACUCAGCCUCACUGACCAUCACUGCUCUGCAGGUUGAGGAUGAGGCUGACUACUACUGCCAGUCUUAUGAUAGUAGUAGCUAUAGACACAGUGGAUCUUGGGCUGAGGUUGUGUUCACCCAGCCACAAUCUGUGUCUGGAUCCUUGGGGCAGAAGAUCACCAUCUCCUGCACCCGCAGUACUGGGAACAUUGGAAGCAAUUAUGUAUACUGGUACCAGCAGCAUUCAGCAAGUGCACCCUGUCUGCUCAUCUACAAGUAUGAUCAAAGACCUUCUGGGGUUCCAGAUAGGUUCUCUGGAUCCAAGGACAGCUCCUCCAACUCUGGCAUCUAA